GAUGAAGAACGUAGCGAAAUGCGAUAAGUAGUGUGAAUUGCAGAAUUCAGUGAAUCAUCGAAUCUUUGAACGCACAUUGCGCCCCUUGGUAUUCCAUGGGGCAUGCCUGUUCGAGCGUCAUUUGUACCUUCAAGCUUUGCUUGGUGUUGGGUGUUUGUCCUGAGGGACUCGCCUUAAAGUAAUUGGCAGCCAGUGUUUUGGUUUUGAAGCGCAGCACAAGUCGCGAUUCAAAGCUAUACGCCAGCUUCCACAAGCCUUUUUCACUUUUGACCUCGGAUCAGGUAGGGAUACCCGCUGAACUUAAGCAUAUCAAUAAGCGGAGA
rnacentral:misc_RNA from 1 species